rnacentral:rRNA from 1 species
UACGUAGGGUGCGAGCGUUAAUCGGAAUUACUGGGCGUAAAGCGUGCGCAGGCGGUUUUGUAAGCCAGAUGUGAAAUCCCCGGGCUUAACCUGGGAAUGGCAUUUGGGACUGCAAGGCUCGAGUGCGGCAGAGGAGACUGGAAUUCCUGGUGUAGCAGUGAAAUGCGUAGAGAUGCGGAGGAACACCGAUGGCGAAGGCAGCCCCCUGGGCCAACACUGACGCUCAGGCACGAAAGCGUGGGGAGCAAACAGG